CUGCUCUGUUCUUUUACUCUUUUGCCUCAAGGAGUCACAGCUGGUGGUCCUGUCAGUCAUAGCAACACAGCCAAAGACUAGAUUGAGAGACAAGAGGGAGAGAAUGAAGCAGCAGAGGGGAUCUUGCUCGGCUGACCCCUGAGUCUGGUGCUCAGUUGGAAAAGUCUUUCAUUUUAGAGCUCCAGGCACUGUAAUGAAGAGCAACAUUUCUAGGAUCUUCUGGCACAGAAGAAUCCCAAGGACAGAACUGUAUUUUCCUAACCCCAGAUCCCCAUCGGUAAGAAUGUCCAAAGCAAAGCAGCUUGCUGGAAUCAAGACAGAAUCACCUGUUCCAUGGGUUAAUCAAUGGAAAGGAGUGACAGCUUGUGUACCGCCAACAGUUCAGUUCUGCCAGAUGGAGUAGGAAGAAAAUAACAUACAUAAUUAAAAUCAAUGAAGUUGUAUCAACCCCAAACACUGGGGGGGGAAAAAA
rnacentral:lncRNA from 1 species